GACAUCGUGGCCUAAUGGAUAAGGCGUCGGUCUCCUAUACGGAAGAAUCAAGGUUCGAGUCCUUGCUGGGUUU
rnacentral:tRNA from 1 species